UGUGCCUCCUGCCUCAGCAGAGAUCUAGGAUCUCAAUAGAGAUCACCUAUUCAACCCUUCAGAUCUCAGGCAAUUUUCCUUCUUCAAAAACUAAGAGGCAGGAAGCUUUUGUUGAGGAAGAUUUGGGAAGACAUACCCUUGCCCCUCUUGUUCUCCCGCAUUAGUCGACAUUUGGAUUCACCAAACUUGAGCCCUGGAUUGAAGGCCUUCCAUUUUCAGCACUCUCUAUAAUAAGGGUAAUUAUACAUUUUCAGGAUACUUUGGAAUUCCAGACAGUGGACCCAAGCAUGGAAACAAGCAUAUAAGAUCCAGCAAUACAUGGAAAUUGGAACAAGCAAAUAGAUUAUACUGACAAGUGGCUGAGUCCUCUCACAACUGUAUAUCCUUGAGAAGUAGUUCUAGUACAGUAGGAAAAUUAGUGAAAGCAAUAGAGGAUUCUGGAAUUGAAAGAAUUGAUGUUAUGUGCUUGUACUAAGCAGGGAUCUAGUCUUCCGAUAUAUGAACAUGGAUCAUUGAAGUACCAUGCGAUGCUUUGCCCUAAAAAACCAGAGAAGAAUGGGCCCCAAGAACUGGUCAGAGUAAGCAGCAAGAAUAUGGAGGAAGGUGGAGCUCUUCAACCUGAAGAGAGAGAGAGACCAUGGGAGAGGGGCAGAGAGAGA